rnacentral:rRNA from 1 species
CAAUAGCGUAUAUUUAAGUUGCUGCAGUUAAAAAGCUCGUAGUUGGAUUUCGGGUGGGAACGGCCGGUCCGCCGUUUCGGUGUGCACUUGCUACGCCCACCUUGCUGCCGGGGACGUGCUCUUGAGUUCACGCUCGGGACAUGGAGUCGGCGAGGUUACUUUGAGUAAAUUAGAGUGUUCAAAGCAGGCCUACGCUCUGAAUACAUUAGCACGGAAUAACACGAUAGGACUCUGGCCUAUCUUGUUGGUCUGUAGGACCGGAGUAAUGAUUAAGAGGGACAGUCGGGGGCAUUCGUAUUUCAUUGUCAGAGGUGAAAUUCUUGGAUUUAUGAAAGACGAACUACUGCGAAAGCAUUUGCCAAGGAUGUUUUCAUUAAC